AGCCCCGAGGUGUUUUCAUAUCAGGUUGCAAACCUGAAGAAGCAGGCUAAAUACUUGCCGGGGCUU
rnacentral:tRNA from 1 species